UACGGGGGGGGCAAGCGUUGUUCGGAAUUACUGGGCGUAAAGGGCGCGUAGGCGGUUUGGUAAGUUGGAUGUGAAAACUCUGGGCUUAACCCAGAGCCUGCAUCCAAAACUGGCAAGCUGGAGUUUUGGAGGGGGAAGCGGAAUUCCUGGUGUAGCAGUGAAAUGCGUAGAUAUCAGGAGGAACACCGGUGGCGAAGGCGGCUUCCUGGACAAAAACUGACGCUGAGGCGCGAAAGCUAGGGGAGCAAACAGG
rnacentral:rRNA from 1 species